rnacentral:lncRNA from 1 species
GUAUUUAUUAUUUUUACAUAAGAAAACAUUUAUAUGAGAAAAAGUAUCAGCAGAGCUUACACAGUGAUAGGAUUAUACAUCAUGAUUUCCUCUUUAAACAUCUUUAUAAUUAUCAAACAUGAGUGAUUAAAAAAACUGAAGCUAAAGGUAGCAAUAUUCUCUAUACUGGCAGAUUUUUCAGCAUUGCAUAUGAACCCACCUCCGGUAAGUGGGUUAUCUUUCUAAUUUAUGACUUCAGUGAAAUCUGUUUCCUGGCAAUGGUUGCCAGGGCACGCCUUCUCUCUUGUUCUCCGUCAUGCUUACUUUUAAGCCUAAGGGCAAGAAAGAAAUAGACAGAAAGCAAGAAGUAGCAUGAGCAUCUUUUUUUGUGUGUGUGUGUGGCAUGUUAGGAAAAGGAGCUGUAAACACACUCCACUAAGCAUAGCACAUGCCUUGGAUUCAAGCAGUGGACCUCAAAGAGUAGCGUCUCCUUUUAAGCUUUGCAGGGCAAGUUUGGGGCACUGUCAGUGAAAAAUUGUCACUGCUUCUUGCCUUGGUGCUUGCCUGAACAACAAGGAGUUCUUCUAACUGCCUUAAAAGGAAUCUACUCCUCUCUCCUGCCACAGUGCCAAAUGCAAAUAUUAUUUGAGGAUAUCAAUCCUUAGAGACUCAUUCAAAAGACUUUAAAAAAGAAAAAGCCUCUGAAUUUACGAAACCAAAGCAGCUAUCAGGAUGAUCAGGAGAUGGGGAGACAGAGGAAAGAAAGGAGAGAUCUGUGGAUCCCGUGAGCACCCCAAAUUGGAACCACUCCUUACCGUGUCUCAAGGAAGCAACAGACCUCCAAACUGCAUGGUGUACCUCAAAAGAGCAAGACCCAAGCAAAAAGGGGGAUGGAGAACUGGACGUCGCCCAGAGAAGUUACACCCAGAACAAUUAGUCAUCAGCAACAAACAUUCCAUACAGCACAUCACAGAAGCAAGAACCUCCAAAGUCCAGUGCAGUUAAGAACAGAAGCAGCUGGAAAAAUAGAAAAAGUUGGUAAAGAGUCUACCACAAGGCCACACUUUGAAGAGUGAAAUGAAGAAAUUGAAAAUUCUGUGUAGCUGUAAUUGGAAGCCCUACUGUGAAAAAAGGUCACUCAAAAAUGACAUUGGAUACAAGAAGAGAGCACCAGUGAAUCAGAUGAAGGAAAGCAGAAAAACACACAAACUGGACCAAACCAAAGAUAUUUGCAUCACGUCCUUAAUGGGAAGGAAUCCACUGCACAUGGUAGUGGUUAGAGAUUACUGUCACACUGAAGAUACUGGUUAGUAAACUUGAUAUGGUUC